rnacentral:rRNA from 1 species
GACGAACGCUGGCGGCGUGCUUAACACAUGCAAGUCGAACGGUAAGGCCCUUCGGGGUACACGAGUGGCGAACGGGUGAGUAACACGUGGGUGAUCUGCCCUGCACUUCGGGAUAAGCCUGGGAAACUGGGUCUAACACCGGAUAGGACCACUGCCUGCAUGGGUGGUGGUGGAAAGCUUUUGCGGUGGGGGAUGGGCCCGCGGCCUAUCAGCUUGUUGGUGGGGUGAUGGCCUACCAAGGCGACGACGGGUAGCCGGCCUGAGAGGGUGACCGGCCACACUGGGACUGAGAUACGGCCCAGACUCCUACGGGAGGCAGCAGUGGGGAAUAUUGCACAAUGGGCGCAAGCCUGAUGCAGCGACGCCGCGUGAGGGAUGACGGCCUUCGGGUUGUAAACCUCUUUCAGCAUCGACGAAGCGCAAGUGACGGUAGGUGCAGAAGAAGGACCGGCCAACUACGUGCCAGCCGCCGCCGUAA